GGGAAGGAUGUGGUCAGAUUGGGAAGGAUGUGGUCAGCGUGGGAAGGAUGAGGUCAGAGUGGGAAGGAUGAGGUCAGAGUGGGAAGGAUGAGGUCAGCAGAGGGAAGGAUGAGGUCAGCAGAGGGAAGGAUGAGGUCAGCGGAGGGAAGGAUGAGGACAGCGGAGGGAAGGAUGAGGACAGCGGAGGGAAGGAUGUGGUCAGAGUGGGAAGGAUGAGGUCAGAGUGGGAUGGAUGUGGUCAGCGGAGGGAAGGAUGUGGUCAGAGGAGGGAAGGAUGUGGUCAGCGGAGGGAAGGAUGUGGUCAGCGGAGGGAAGGAUGUGGUCAGCGGAGGGAAGGAUGUGGUCAGAGUGGGAAGGAUGUGGUCAGCAGAGGGAAGGAUGUGGUCAGCGGAGGGAAGUAUGAGGUCAGCAGAGGGAAGGAUGAGGUCAGCAGAGGGAAGGAUGUGGUCAGCGGAGGGAAGGAUGAGGUCAAAGGGAGAGGCGGGAGCAGUAGGAUGUCUCGUCUCGUCGUCUCCCCAUCCACGCCGUCUGUGGCUUCGUAUGACUCAGUCAGAUGACGUUAGAGUUCCGUACAAGUAGCUAGCUAACGACACAGCUUCUUGUGGUGACGAGAAGAAAGAACCUGAGGUCGUGUAGUUACAUAAACAGUACUUACUGGUUAAUCCAUACUACAGGGUGGACAAAUGUAGACACUGAAUUAUUGAUUUAAAGGCCCGAAGCUUU
ensembl:lncRNA